rnacentral:lncRNA from 1 species
GGGAAAGCUGAAGCUGAGGGAUUUCCUGGCCAUUUGGGGAGAAUUCUGUUUCACUUUCCGUGGCUCUCUCACCCUGGCUCUGGUUCUCCUGGGAAAGUUAGUAAAUUUCUGAUAAGCAACUUAGUUUGUCUUGGUGCCUGGAGCCUAAGCCUGAGUACAAGCAACUCCAUUUCGGUUUGACUUGUUGGGCCUUGUGUGGAAGCUCGGUCCAAGUCAUGACUCUUACUUUGAUAGUUCGAAAGUUUUCAACAGAGCAAUUCUGCUGAAGUUUCUAAAUGUGUAAGUUCAUCAUCGCCGUACCUCUCCACUUCAUCCCUGAGCACUGAGUCAGGAACAACCAAGGUGACUGCCUUUGUGUUUCCACCACGAAACACGCAGUGUAGGUGAAAUAUACUCGAUGAACACUUUGUGGCAAGAAACAAAGAACUAUCUAACCUCUCAAAAAGAAUGGCUCCCAGAUGAAAAUAUCUCCAUUUCUUAGUAAGUGGCUACUAAGGAAGCGAAGACAGGAGGAUCCUUUGAACCCCAGAGUUCAAGAUUGGCACGAGGAAUGUAGGGAGACCGGGUCUUAAAAAGAAGAGGAAGAAGGAGGAGGAGAGCAAGGAAAAGAAGAAACAGUGGCUAAGUCUUUCGAAGUGAAGUUGGAAAGUUGGAAGAUGACACUCAUACCUGCUAAUGGUUAAACUGAAGAAUGUGCCAGUACACUUCACAAACAAUAAAAGCCAGUGAGUGCCCUCUGGUUUCA